rnacentral:rRNA from 1 species
GACGAACGCUGGCGGCGUGCUUAACACAUGCAAGUCGAGCGAUGAAAUCCCUUCGGGGAUGGAUUAGCGGCGGACGGGUGAGUAACACGUGGGUAACCUGCCUCAAAGAGGGGGAUAGCCUCCCGAAAGGGAGAUUAAUACCGCAUAACAUUAGUUUUUCGCAUGGAGAACUAAUUAAAGGAGUAAUCCGCUUUGAGAUGGACCCGCGGCGCAUUAGCUAGUUGGUGAGGUAACGGCUCACCAAGGCGACGAUGCGUAGCCGACCUGAGAGGGUGAUCGGCCACAUUGGAACUGAGACACGGUCCAGACUCCUACGGGAGGCAGCAGUGGGGAAUAUUGCACAAUGGGCGAAAGCCUGAUGCAGCAACGCCGCGUGAGUGAUGAAGGCCUUCGGGUUGUAAAACUCUGUCUUUUGGGACGAUAAUGACGGUACCAAAGGAGGAAGCCACGGCUAACUACGUGCCAGCAGCCGCCGUAA